GACCGCGUAGCUCAGUUGGAAGAGCAUUGGGCUAGUAUUCCAAAGGUCGUAGGUUCAAAUCCCACCAUGGCCG